ensembl:lncRNA
AUGAUCUGCAUUGUGUUGAAUUUAUUGAUUUUUGUUGGAUAAAUACAAAUAAUAAUAACAAUAAUAAUAAUAAUAAAUUCCUUGAGUUUUAGUAUUUUCCAUUCAUUUCCUAUGGGUGCCCAUUUUGGGGCCUGAAUGACAAAUUAAGUUUUCUUUUUUUUUCUAACACAAAUUUGUUGAAUCGAGUCCUCUUUUUUGUGUGUGUUCAGGUGGCAAACUCAGAUUAAGGAAACUAUUUUAAAAAAUUAUUUUGCCCAAAUUUGGGCUUUCUGGAGGCUAACAUAAUUUACAAUUAGCCUACAGCGCCCCCUUAUGGCUGCUCCAGAUGAACUACAGUUUCCGGUUGAUGAUAGAUCGCGCGAGGCUUGGCACAAAAGUGAUCUCGCGCGAACAGCCGUCGAGCCGUGCUGCGGUACUGAGGUAAACAGAAGAAAACUGCGGAUCCGCUUCGGACUUGGGUUUAAAGCGAUGGACGCGUUGGACAUGUUAUUACAGCAAACAGACUAUCACAAUUUUGAGAGAGAGGCUAAGUACCACUACCUCGCUAACUUUCCUCCAAGACAAGAGUCAGGAUACUACAGUGAGGUGAACAUCUUGGUUCUCAGCGAGGUUACUACCAAAUCUGUCUCUAUGAAGCUGCGGCGCAGGACAGUCCUGAGAAGCCGACGGCUUCGACAGCGAGAACAUGUGAAGGACUCUGAGAGCAUCUCUGUGGUGUUGAGGGACGCUGACUCUAGUCAGUCAGACAGUGUGGAAGAAAUAAAAGAUCAGGUGUCUGUUCUUCGUGAUAUGGAGCGGCCGGUAAGGAAGAGUAGAGCUGGUUCAUCAUGUCGCGUGAGAAAAGAAGGCGAGAGGCCGCUUUCUGAUGUGGAAGCACAACCUGGGACGGUUCAGAAGAUCUCCCUGGCUCCAGUAAGAUGCAGAGAGUGUGAGAGACUUUUCGCAAAGAUGAGAAAACAUCCCACCCCGGAAAAGAAAAGCAGAGAUACAGAUCCAGCAUCUUUAUCUUGUGAUGUGUGGGUUCUGCUUAAGAAGUGGCACCCUCAGAGACACCGUCAUCGAGAGAAGGGAUUAUUGUGGACGAGCCUGAGUCGGAUCAGGAAGCUGUUAGCAGGAGGCUCCGACUUUGCAGCCGUCAACAGAACAGAAGCAAACUGCUCCAGACCUCAUGUAUUUCAGCAGAGGAAUUUACGGCGCUGCAAGUAUCUGCUUUCCAUUCAGACCAACCGGUCCAUUACCAAAGCAAAGCCACGGCAUCGUAAGAGGUCACGAUCUGUGGUCUGGCCACCCGUUGCUGGCUGGACAUCUUCAGUGAAAAGGAAGCCUUCUUUGAACAACACAUUUUCUCAGCAGCUUUCUCCUCUCAACCUUAGUGUUAGGAUGACACAGGAGGACAAACUGCUUGUAGAUGAUAAGAUUUCAAGAUUAAAUGCAGAUUUGAAGCUGAACUCGGAUGCCUCCAGCGAACAGAGGACGACUAAUGUCCGGGGCAAACUGAACAAGCAGGAAGUGUUUGAUGGCAUAGAAGGAACGCGGCGGGUGCUGAAGUUUGAUGAAACGCCUGAAACUGUUGCUGUGGAAGCUGCGGAACAGAGGAAAAGCCCUCGGCAGAAGCACAAACGUGGAGUGAUUCGUGAAGCUCAGAAUGGUUUCCAGAAUGAGCAGCAGGAGGAGAUUUCUGAGGAUUCGGAUGGGUUCAGGACUCCCACAGAUCUGUUCAGCGUGAAGCCUAAGAUGAAACGAGGGAACCAGAAGAAAGUCUCUGCCUCUGGUGUAACAAAACCUGCCGCUCAGAAGCCCAACUUCAUGUCCAUGUUAGCCACUCUGGUGAAGAAUCAGAAUCAGAUUAUUAAAGAGUCCUGCAAAUGAGUCUCUAUGAAAGUCCUGCGAUUAGAUUUGUGUGUCAUUUUGUAUAAAUGAAGAGACAUGCAUCGUUGCUGUUGAGAUUUGUUUUAUUGUGUAAAUUAAUAGAUCUGAUUUCUGAAAAAAAAAAAAAGUCUGGUUAUAUUUAUUGUAUUGUUCAGUUGUUUGUGUUCUAACGUUUGUAUUUGCAUGAGUAAAUAAAUCUUGCAUAAACAACUUUUUGUCUUUGCUU